CUGCUUUUCCUCAUAGGAUCUUCCAGAUUUCAUCAAAUUUGGGAUGAAAUAAAUUUAAAAUUUUUUAUCCUACAUGUAUUUCAGAUCUAAAUCUCUAGAUCUAAUCUUAUUAUCUGAUAUUUUAAAUCUAAAAUUAAAUCUAAAACUAUGAUGAAAGAAGAAAUACCUCAAGGGUAAUCUGAUUACCCUGUAGAUGAUCUCUGCACAGCCC
rnacentral:lncRNA from 1 species